rnacentral:rRNA from 1 species
AGUGAACGCUGGCGGCGUGCUUAACACAUGCAAGUCGAACGAGAACGGAAUAUAGCUUGCUAUAUUUGUCAGCUAAGUGGCGCACGGGUGAGUAAUGUAUAGAUAACCUGCCCUUAAGAAAGGAAUAACAGUUGGAAACGACCGCUAAUGCCCUAUAUGCCUUUAAUACAUAAGUAUGCAAGGGAAACGCUUUAGUGCUUAAGGAUGGGUCUGUAUGGUAUCAGCUUGUUGGUGAGGUAAUGGCUCACCAAGGCUAUGACGCCUAACUGGUUUGAGAGGAUGAUCAGUCACACUGGAACUGAGACACGGUCCAGACUCCUACGGGAGGCAGCAGUGGGGAAUAUUGCACAAUGGACGAAAGUCUGAUGCAGCAACGCCGCGUGGAGGAUGACACAUUUCGGUGCGUAAACUCCUUUUAUAUAGGAAGAUAAUGACGGUACUAUAUGAAUAAGCACCGGCUAACUCCGUGCCAGCAGCCGCGGUUA